AUGAACGCUGGCGGCGUGCCUAAUACAUGCAAGUCGAGCGAACAGAUAAGGAGCUUGCUCCUUUGACGUUAGCGGCGGACGGGUGAGUAACACGUGGGUAACCUACCUAUAAGACUGGAAUAACUCCGGGAAACCGGGGCUAAUGCCGGAUAACAUUUAGAACCGCAUGGUUCUAAAGUGAAAGAUGGUUUUGCUAUCACUUAUAGAUGGACCCGCGCCGUAUUAGCUAGUUGGUAAGGUAACGGCUUACCAAGGCAACGAUACGUAGCCGACCUGGGAGGGUGAUCGGCCACACUGGAACUGGGACACGGUCCAGACUCCUACGGGAGGCAGCAGUAGGGAAUCUUCCGCAAUGGGCGAAAGCCUGACGGAGCAACGCCGCGUGAGUGAUGAAGGUCUUCGGAUCGUAAAACUCUGUUAUUAGGGAAGAACAAAUGUGUAAGUAACUGUGCACGUCUUGACGGUACCUAAUCAGAAAGCCACGGCUAACUACGUG
rnacentral:rRNA from 1 species